ACGCUCAAUCAAUUUUUGAACUUGAAGUCUUUUCCUUCAGAUUACUUUCUUCUCCUUGAAGAUACAGUCAUAUACACUGUUGUUAGUUUAUUUGUCGUAUCACCCGACAAACACUAGAUAUCUAGAUAAGAUGCAGGCUCCCGCAGCAAACUUUCUGUAGCCAGUUGAGCGAACUUGUUUGGAACUUCCAAAUUGCUUUGUCCGAAACUCUAUAAUAAAUAAUUCUUAUCAGUCGUCGAAUAUUUGAACAGUUCCCGAGAGGGAGAAUGCCACGACGUAGUUCAUCAUCCUCAAGCUCCCGGUCGCCUGUUAGGCAUGGACGAGAGGACAAACUUCGUUCUAGAAGAAGCAGGUCCCGGUCUCCUGUAAAACGUGGCAACGACAGCAAAGGACGUCGCAGAGAUAGUUCUGAUUCCCCCAGUGAUACUCGGCGACGACGCUCAAAUGGAGCUUCAUCGAGAACCAGUCGUAGAUUAUCCAGAUCACGCUCCCCAAGGCGGAGACGUCGCUCGGUAUCGCCAUCGUAUCGUCGUAAAAGGUCCAGAUCCAGAAGUCGAUCAAGCCCAAGAAGAGAGCGUCGCCGAGACGUCGUUUUAUCUAGUGUCUCGAAAUCCUCAGCAAAUAGUCGUGAUGGUAACAGUAAUCGUGAUGGCGAGGCACGUUCGAGGGGUAGAACGUCCAGUGAUAGCCAGAGUCAUGCACGUAGCUCAGCUGUUGAGCUUAUAAAGAUAGAGGAUGAUAUGGAUAAGACCAAUACGCAUGAAAGGAGUACCAAAUCACCUACGUCCACUACUGCGAACAGAAGCAGUACCAGUGGAAGUAGUGGCGGCGGCGGCAUUAGCAGCAGACUUGUCAAGCUCAGCUCUGAACCCAUGGUGCAGUCCACAGACAGACGCAGACCUGAUGAUCAACGUACUAGUAGAGCAGAGAGAGAUGAUGAGCGAGACCAUCGUCAACGCUCAAGUGAAGAUCGCCGUCGGAACAGGGGAAGCUAUGACCGGCAAGAGCAAGAUUCUCGGUGGCAGUCACGGCAACCACGCUUGACAUUGCAAAGCCCACGACCACAGGAUGUUCCCCGUAAUUUCUUGCAUGAUGACCGGGGAGUGAGCAACAGACGGCGUGACUCCUGGGGUCGGUCAUCUCCCGUCAAGCGUUCCUCCAGCCCUGACAAAUGGGCGCACGACCUCUACGCAGAUAAUAUGAGCGAGGACAAGAAUGGGAGCGAUGGCAUGAGUGAAAGUGGUGCAGACGUAAGAAUUGUGCAGGUAUGAGCCAUACAGUGUGUGGCUCCAUAGUGCAAACGUGCAAUAGUGCCAUUCAGAUUUCAGGUGGAUAGUCAAAACUUCUGAUUGUGAGCUACUGAGGACUAUGGCACAGUCAGCAUAGAUGUGCAUCAGUGAAUGCACUGAGUGUUCACAUGCAGCCAAUCAGAGAAUUCCUACUACUGCUAGUACUACCUCGCAGACUAGAACAGUAACAGUGUCACAGCUGGCUUUGUGUGUCAUGUACAUGUAGGUGCUCUUUGCUGUGCUUUCGCGCCUUUUACUCAUUAUCUGGCAUUCAGCACUGGUCGUUCUUCUAGUGUGGUACUGUACCCAGUGGCAUAGGCAGACAGUCAUAAUAUUUACAAAUUCUACACUGCAUAUUGCUCUUUUUACACCCUGAUUUAAACAGAAAUCCAUGCAAUGACUUCUAAAUCGGUGGUGGUAACAAGUCUAAGGCCUGACUUAAACACCGUACGUCUAGCAAUCGCUUCUCAUAUUGUAUCGUCUAGUCAUGCUUUUUAUUCAUCUUCAUUUGAAUUUCAUUAUUGACUCCGCCAUCAGCAUAGCUACGGUUAAAUCAGCAUGUGUUAUGUAAAACCAAAAGCAAUUAUUAUUGAAAAAAGGAAGACACAGUGAGUCGUCUCAUGCUGACGGCUUCAAUGA